AGAAUCCUCAGAGGGAGAAUGAAAUCCUUCCUGCCGUGCUUGGGCUUCCCCGAAGCCAAGGCAACUGCAUGUCAACAAAGAGGCUCUGCCGAGCGAGAAAAGGAAUCUGGCUCCGUUUGUGGAAGGAAGGGCGUGCAAGUGCUGCUGCUGCUGCUGUCUUGCGCGCUUGCUUGUGCUGAGUAGCCCCACUGGCUGUGGGGAGAGAGGGAAAGAGAGGGAAAAAAGGGGGGCUCAUAAGACAUCUGUACAUUUUGUUAAGUAGCUGAUUAUCACACAAAAGUAAGCAUGCCUACAGAAACAGGGAAAACAGAUAUGGAGAGGAUUGGCCUCUUCAGUGAAAUGGAAUAUAUUACUGUUGGGGAAAAAUAUGUAUCACCAUUUAACCGCCCUUUUAAUGAAGCUGCAAGCAAGAACAAGCAAAUGUUGCCAGGGGGUCACAAAGAGAAGGCAGCUACCCAGGCAGGUUACUUUGAACCUGUGUUUUCAAGAAUUUUGGAAGGUGAAAGUUAUUCAAAUCCCGUUCAGCUAAGGAGGCAAUAUCGAUUGGCAGAGGCAAAGAAAAACCUGGGAAGUAAACCAUUCCUUCCUAGUAAUGGAGAUAAAUUUCCCAACGGUGCAGGAACUUACUAUGGAACAAUUGGAGGCCCAUGUGCCUCCUUUAGUGCACAAAAAAAAGACCGGAUACCAUAUGUUCAACCUGGGAAGAAUUUGUAUACCAAUCCAGGCAAAAAGGGAACUGGCUAUGGGUACGCAAAUCUCACCAUAGGUAAACCAUACGCACACUCAGUUGAAUUAUAUGAUAUAGGAAGAAUAAACUUUAAGAAAACAUCUGAAGAGCACCAUCGUCUAAUGAAAGGUGGACCUUUCAAGUUGAAUCUUUAUCCCCGAGAAUAUUUUGAUCUGAAUCCAUACCAUGAUGACCAACCGUUGCCACCACCAAAGAAACAACCUGCAAAAGUACCAAUUUCACACCCUUUUAAGCCAACUUCUCCAGCCAAAAAGUCAGGGGGCAUGAAAGCAGGCACCUUUGAUCCUUAUCCAACUCAUUCCACAGACCCCUUCAUAGUUAGGUUGCCUAGGCCUAUCACAACCAACAAACAAGGACAAGUAUUUCAUCCAUCUCCUGGAAGUAAGAGCAGACCAGUGAGAAGUAUUAUGGCAGCAAAUGUUGAAAAGGUGAACAGAACUGAAAUGCCACAGAAAUCGUCAGUGCAGCAAACUACAGAAUGCUUCAAGGAGAAAGGGCAAGAAUCGAAAAAGGCAGAGUGUCUGCCCUGCACUGAUGAUAAUGCACAUACUAUCCCGUUGUGAUGAAGGGAAGAAUCAGCUGCUAUCUCACAGAGGAUGGAUGCAAUGGCAUCGCACAGUGUCAUGUCCUGAGGAUCUCGCAGCUGGGGCUGCCUCUUUCGGAGCACUCCUGGAUUCCUGCAACACAGCCUGGGUAAAUGACACGACUCCCUCGGCAAUCUUCCUUCGCUCCCCGCCCGACCCUCUUUUGACCCUAUUAGGCGCCUAACUCACUAUAGCCAACACCGGCUCUCAUCGCGUCCUGCGUCGCCGGCGCGCCGGUCGCCCCAUUCAAAUUGCGGCUGGCUCUGACACCCAAACCGCCGCCCGCCCAAAGCUACCGGACGUUGCUCAGCAACGAAUCUCCAUAGAGACGGGAACGGGGAGAACAACGGCUGCGGGAAGGAGCCCCUCGUGUCUGCUCUUGCGCCCCCUGGAGGCUGCGAACUGUUCCGGCCGGACUUGCUCUUGGCGCUAGCCGCCUGGGAGUGAUAAAAGCGUCGAGCAGGGAGAGUCUCUUAAAAGGUCUUUAUCAUUUCUCGGCAUUUCACCAUAGAGCUCUUGGAGAAAUAGAACUGCAAUUCUUCUCGCAGGGCAAAGAACAGAUGGUCCCAUGAGCCAUUUUCCACUUAUAUUUAGUGUUACAAUAUCAUUAAAUAUUAUUUAAUAAUAAUAUUUAAUAUUAGACGGGGCAAACAUAGGACCCUCUAAUGCAAACACAACGAUGACAGGGUUCUAGUGUAUGGAUUUAAAAUUUAAUGUAAAUUUCACAAACUGGCUAACAACUGAGCCUAGAUAACAUUGUGAAGUAUUAGCUACAUGCAGAUCCUCACCACCUCUAGGAAACCCAUCAUUAGUAUUUUAUUCUGAUGUCACUAUUCCACAUAAGCUGGUGCUUUAUUCUCUGAGGGUUCAUACCAUUUAUUAGGUAAAGCUAUCCAAAUAUGCUUUGGUUGAUUUAAAAACAAACAGCAUAACAUCUAUUUUCUUAAGAUAAAGUAGUAUAACAUCUCUAGUUUUAUAAUACGCAGAGUGCCUAGUCUCUCCAUCUCCUGCUCCUUCACUCUCUUUCUUUGAUCCUUCCAUAAAAUAAGACUGUACUUUGUCCAACAUGGAAAUAGUUCCAAGUAACAGCUAGAUUCUAUAGUAUAAAAAGCAAGGAAUCCUUCGUUUCUCCCUUUCUUGGUUCCAGGAAGCCUGGGGGCAGCUCCAGGCCCCACCUGUAAUGACCUCAAGCCUAAAUUCAGUACCUGCAGAUCUGUGCUGCUCCACGUCAUCUUGGGAAUCUGAACUUGCCACUGUGUUCAGAUUCUGGCAAUUUCUAUGAUGCUACUAUCGAAUUAACUUCCCCCCAUCCCUUAUAAUCUGGGGGCACAUGCUGCCAGAUUCAAUAAUCAGGAAAACUCAAAAGCUUGCAUAUUUUUUGUCAUCUCUUGGGUGGUCAGUAAAGGGUUUUGAGCACAAUCUUGUGCCUGUUUAGAUCGAAACAAGUUCUGCCACUACUGAUAUUCCUUAGCCAGUGCAACUGGCUGGGGAAUGCUGGCUGGCAAUUCUAGGGUCCUUUUCUUUGUAAACAAGGACCCUUGGGAUUAUGGGAUUAUGUCCUAAAUCCAUGUACUGGAAUUUUGUAAUGACUCACUGGACUGGAUUCUGGUUUAUUCAACUGGGGUUUUGUGUGUCUGAUCCAGGUGGGAGGUCUUCAGUGGAAGGAUAAUUUUGUUGUGUAAAUUAUGUCUUUAAGAGCCAUUAGAUUUGCAGUAGUUAUGCCUAGACUCAGAUAAUUGAGAUAAUAUAUGUAAACUUCGAAUCUCCAAGUUCUAGCUACAUUUGGCAGCAUCAUUAAAUUUAAUGAGAUUAAAUGAGCCAGUUUAAGUAAUCGGCUGUUUCAUUAUUCUGUGUGGUAUGAAUGAGCAGUUUCUCUUUAUUACUGAGUUGCUUUUGUUUCAUGAAAGAAGCAGAAUUGCAGGAUUUGUUUUUUAGGGUGGGGGCAUUAUCCUUUCGUGAAUCAAUGGAAAGCCAGAAGUGAGUCUCAAACAAAUCCAGGUGCGUUUAUUGAAAUCAAGCCAGUGGAUUCAUCCAAGGAGCAUGCAUAGCAGGAUCGGCUUAUCACAUUCUGAAGUAACAUACAUUCCACUCUAAAGACAAAAGUCUCCAUUUGGUCCAGAGUCUAAAAUUACCUGACUGUGCCACUGGUUAGUGUAACAGAGUAGCUUUAAUCUGAUCUAGGGCACAACCCUAGGAUAUAUUUAUUGGACAUUGACUGUAUUGGGUAGGGGUUGAACUGUGGGCUGUUACUGAAACACAGGUUAUCAUGUUGUCUGAACCUUGCUGCACUAACUACAAACAAUCCAUGAAGUGAACCCAUGAUAUGUUGUUAGGUUCUGAACUGUGGGUUGCCAUUUGUUGUUAUCUCAGUUCGGUGGAGACAACACAAUAAUCCAUGUUUCAACAUCCCUCUCCCCACUCCAGUUCAACAAGAACCCAUACUCAACCCUUGAUAGUGGGUUUUCAUGUUGUUUGAACCCAAUCUUUCCUGGACCUGAGAUAAUAAACCUGAGAUAAUGA